GGCAAUGUGGUACAGAGGACAGAGUGCUAGAUUUGUGUCUAGUGACCCUGGGUUCAAAUCCAGGCUUUAUCA
rnacentral:tRNA from 1 species